rnacentral:rRNA from 1 species
UACAGAGAGUGCAAGCGUUAAUCGGAAUUAUUGGGCGUAAAGCGCGCGUAGGUGGAUGCCUAAGUCGGUUGUGAAAUCCCCGGGCUUAACUUGGGAAUUGCAAUUGAUACUGAGUAUCUUGAGUAUGGUAGAGGGAAGUGGAAUUUCCGGUGUAGCGGUGAAAUGCGUAGAUAUCGGAAAGAACACCAGUGGCGAAAGCGACUUCCUGGAUCAAUACUGACACUGAGGCGCGAAAGCGUGGGGAGCAAACAGGAUUAGAUACCCGGGUAGU